rnacentral:sRNA from 1 species
GAACCGGGGCUUCGGCUCCGGGGACAGCGGCGAACGGGUGAGUAACACGUGGGUAAUCUGCCCUCGGUUCUGGGAUAGCCCGGGGAAACCCGGAUUAAUACCGGAUAGCCUCACGAGCCUUCGGGCGCGUGAGAAAAGGUAGCUUCGGCCUCUGACCGAGGAUGAGCCCGCGGCGGAUUAGCUUGUUGGCGGGGUAACGGCCCACCAAGGCGACGAUCCGUAGCUGGUCUGAGAGGACGAUCAGCCACACUGGGACUGAGACACGGCCCAGAGUCCUACGGGAGGCAGCAGUGGGAUCUGUA